rnacentral:rRNA from 1 species
CUUCCGCAAUGGACGAUAGUCUGACGGAGCAACGCCGCGUGAGUGAUGAAGGUUUUCGGAUCGUCAAGCCCUGUUGUUAGGGAAGAACAAGUGCCGUUCAAAUAGGGCGGCACCUUGACGGUACCUAACCAGCAAGCCACGGCUAACUACGUGCCAGCAGCCGCGGUAAUACGUAGGUGGCAAGCGUUGUCCGGAAUUAUUAGGCGUAAGGGGCUCGCAGGCGGUUUCUUAAGUCUGAUGUGAAAGCCCCCGGCUCAACCGGGGAGGGUCAUUGGAAACUGGGGAACUUGAGUGCAGAAGAGGAGAGUGGAGUUCCACGUGUAGCGGUGAAAUGCGUAGAGAUGUGGAGGAACACCAGUGGCGAAGGCGACUCUCUGGUCUGUAACUGACGCUGAGGAGCGAAAGCGUGGGGAGCGAACAG